rnacentral:rRNA from 1 species
GAUGAACGCUAGCUACAGGCUUAACACAUGCAAGUCGAGGGGCGUCACAGUGUAGCAAUACACGGGUGGCGACCGGCGCACGGGUGCGUAACACGUAUCCAAUCUGCCCGUUACUCGGGGAUAGCCUUCUGAAAGGAAGAUUAAUACCCGAUGGCAUGUAUUUCCGGCAUCGGAGAUACAUUAAAGAUUUAUCGGUAACGGAUGAGGAUGCGUACGAUUAGCUGGUUGGCGGGGUAACGGCCCACCAAGGCUACGAUCGUUAGGGGUUCUGAGAGGAAGGUCCCCCACACUGGAACUGAGACACGGUCCAGACUCCUACGGGAGGCAGCAGUGGGGAAUAUUGGGCAAUGGGGGAAACCCUGACCCAGCAACGCCGCGUGAAGGAAGAAGGCCUCGGGUUGUAAACUUCUUUAGUAGGACGAAGAACGUGACGGUACUACAGAAAAAGACAACGGCUAACUACGUG